UACGAAGGGGGCUAGCGUUGCUCGGAAUCACUGGGCGUAAAGCGCACGUAGGCGGCUUUUUAAGUCAGGGGUGAAAUCCUGGAGCUCAACUCCAGAACUGCCUUUGAUACUGGGAAGCUUGAGUCCGGGAGAGGUGAGUGGAACUGCGAGUGUAGAGGUGAAAUUCGUAGAUAUUCGCAAGAACACCAGUGGCGAAGGCGGCUCACUGGCCCGGUACUGACGCUGAGGUGCGAAAGCUAGGGUAGCAAACGGG
rnacentral:rRNA from 1 species